GACGAACGCUGGCGGCGUGCCUAAUACAUGCAAGUUGAGCGAUGAAGCUUGGUGCUUGCCCCAAUUUGAAGAGCAGCGAACGGGUGAGUAACGCGUGGGGAAUCUGCCUUUGAGCGGGGGACAACAUUUGGAAACGAAUGCUAAUACCGCAUAAUAACUUUAAACAUAAGUUUUAAGUUUGAAAGAUGCAAUUGCAUCACUCAAAGAUGAUCCCGCGUUGUAUUAGCUAGUUGGUGAGGUAAAGGCUCACCAAGGCGAUGAUACAUAGCCGACCUGAGAGGGUGAUCGGCCACAUUGGGACUGAGACACGGCCCAUACUCCUACGGGAGGCAGCAGUAGGGAAUCUUCGGCAAUGGACGAAAGUCUGACCGAGCAACGCCGCGUGAGUGAAGAAGGUUUUCGGAUCGUAAAACUCUGUUGGUAGAGAAGAACGUUGGUGAGAGUGGAAAGCUCAUCAAGUGACGGUAACUACCCAGAAAGGGACGGCUAACUACGUG
rnacentral:rRNA from 1 species